rnacentral:rRNA from 1 species
UACGUAGGGGGGCAAGCGUUGUCCGGAAUCAUUGGGCGUAAAGAGCGUGUAGGCGGCCCGGUAAGUCCGCUGUGAAAGUCCAGGGCUCAACCCUGGGAUGCCGGUGGAUACUGUCGGGCUCGAGUCCGGAAGAGGAGUGUGGAAUUCCUGGUGUAGCGGUGAAAUGCGCAGAUAUCAGGAGGAACACCAAUGGCGAAGGCAG